UAAUACGUAGGCAGCAAGCGUUGUUCGGAAUUACUGGGCGUAAAGAGUACGUAGGUGGUUUGCCAAGUCCGAUGUGAAAUCUCCUGGCUUAACUGGGAGGGUGCGUUAGAUACUGGCAGGCUUGAAUGUGGGAGAGGAGAGCGGAAUUCCUGGUGUAGCGGUGAAAUGCGUAGAUAUCAGGAGGAACGCCUGUGGUGUAGACGGCUCUCUGGACCAUUAUUGACACUGAGGUACGAAAGCGUGGGUAGCAAACAGGAUUAGAUACCCUGGUAGUCCACGCCCUAAACGAUGCAUACUUGGUGUGGGCAGUUCAGUCUGUCCGUGCCGGAGCUAACGCGUUAAGUAUGCCGCCUGGGGAGUACGGUCGCAAGGCUG
rnacentral:rRNA from 1 species